AGCACUACCUCACUCUGAACGCUGCUUAGUCACACAGAAAACGAAAUCUGUUUAUCAGGGCUGAAGGAUACCUACACAGUUUGAGCCUGUGAGAAGAUGAGCUCUGUGGCCACAAUCCAGCAAAACACUGAAGCAGGUCUUAACUUAAAGCACGGUCAGCCUCCUGCCUGCUGAGAGCCAGUUAUCCACUUCCUCCUGUUUGCCCAGCCAUCAUUAACCGCAAUCAGGGAAGGGAAAAGCUGUCACAAUGAUGAUUGAGAUGGAUGAGACAGGAUGAAGAGUUUUAUAUCACUGCUCCUAUCUGCCCUGUCCCGAAAAGUGUGAAUUAUGGUGGAUUGAAAUUCUUGAAGAAAAAAGUCUUCUAGUCAUGGAACAGAUGCAAUAGCCAUGCAGAGUUGCCUGUAUCAGACCCCGCCAAAGUGCCUCAACCCUGAUCAUUAAUCCAUUCAAUCUCUGGCUUCUCGUGCUGGGACCAACAAAGAAGAUCUUGUGGAAGAAGGGAGUUGUGCGUGGGAUUUGAACAUGGUGACAGAGAUGGCUUUAUGAACAAACUUGAAGAUGGCAAUUAAAUCUGAGGUGUUUUGAAAUCCAGAUCUGAAUCCAGACUGUGACUAGGGCCCAUCUCCUCGUGGCUUUGUACCAUAUGA